CCCUCUGGGUCAUCAGCUGGGUGGUCUUCUAGGAGAGCCCCUCAGUCACUGUCUGCCUGUGACAGCUGUGCAGAGCCUGGCUCUGACUCCCUCCUUGUGUCCUGGACUCCCUGUCUUUUGAGCAGGUCUGGAGUGUAGAGGGUGUCUGCCCCUCUUGUCAUCCAUCCCUUCCUUCUAAGGCCGGAGGAGGAAGGCAUGCUGCGGGCUCUCGCUCUCCUUCUAGCUUUCCUGGCUCCUGCCACUCAGGUAUCUUCCAACUUGGAAGGGACACAGAUGUUGGUCACCAAGCAAGCUGGAUCAUCUGUUGUAAUCACUUGUGAUAUUACACAAAGCAGCGACUAUGUCCACUGGUACCGAUACCAGGAGGGGAUGGCCCCACGACGACUUCUCUACUACGAGUUCUCCAGCUCAAAGGUUGUGGUGGACCCAGGGAUCAGUUCACAGAAGUACAAUGCUUAUCAAGGCACAGGGAGGACCUGUAAACUUUAUAUCAAAUUUCUGGAAGAAAGCGAUUCUGGUGUGUAUUACUGUGCUGUCUGGGAGAGGCACAGUGAUUCAGACUUCCCCUAUCCUGCACUGAAAAUUUUGCUUGUGGUUGCCAAGAGCAGCCUUGACACACAGGGUAGACCAGCCCCUGCCGCCCUUCCUGCCCUGACUUCACUGUGCUCUGAACAUGAGAGAUCCUGA